rnacentral:tmRNA from 2 species
GGGGGCGACUUGGUUUCGACGCGGGUAUCAAAGUUUGCGGUGCAUGCCGAGAGGGUAGUGACUCUCGUAAAACAAUCGCUGUAACUUUUAUAGUUGCCAACGACGAAAACUACGCACUAGCGGCCUAAAAAACCCGCUUACGUCCAUGAUUCGUUUCUUGCUAGGAGAAAUG